GCCAUCGUCCGCGGCGUCCUGCUCAACUUUGGUGUGCACCACGCGACGACCGCGGCGAUCGGUCUGCCCUUCGUGUGGUCCCCGCCCAUCAUGUUCAUCACCACCUUCGUCACCGUGUUCGCCAUCUGCAUCUCCAUCUGCAAGGACCUGGCGGACAUCGAGGGCGACAAGCAGGAGGGCAUCAAGACGUUUGCGACGGAGAUUGGCGCCGCGGGCAUCGCGUACCUUGGCUCCGGUCUCCUCGUCUUCAACUACUGCUUCGCCAUCGGAUCCGCGAUGAUCAGGCAGGAUUGGUUCAACCUGCCGCUCAUGAUCGGUUUCCACUCUCUCGCGAUCCUGUUCUGCAUCUGGAG
rnacentral:lncRNA from 1 species